rnacentral:lncRNA from 1 species
GUCCCAUCCAGCCACUGCUGCACCCUGCCACCCCAAAAGCAUCUGACCUGCAGAUGCCUCCCAGAGGAGCCUUUUCCAUCCUGUGCUGGGAAAAAGAACAAUGGCCUCAGGACAGCACAGAUCCUCAAUCCAGGUGGGAGCUCAGCACCCUCCAGCUGGGAAGGCUGUGGUGUCCAAGCUCUCCGGAAGUCCCAAGAGGCUCAGACACCUCCCAGCCUUAUUUUCUCCAUUAAAAACACCAUGUGGGCACCCUGUCUUUUUUAUGAGCUGAAAAGAUUUCACGUCCCAAGACGGAAGAGAGGAGAAAUUGGGGUGCAAAACUUACCUCCACACCAGGAAUAUUGGGACAUUUCUGAAGUUAAAGAAACCCAGCCUCAGUGUGAUGAGGACCGCCCCCCACCAGCCCAGGUGGGCUGUGCAUAAGGAUCAGACAUACUGGGGGAGCAGUGAUCCAACAAGAAAGACCUUUCAAAGGAGAGACACUUCAAAACUCCUUAUCGCCGUCUCCACUAGCCAACGCCAAGUUCUACUUCCAUUUUAUAUCACCGCUUCUCUUUUGUUUUUGUUGUGUUUCUAAAUCUGGAUCAGGAUGGAGACUGGCAGUAUCCCUUGAGAAAAGAGGACCAUGGCUGAAAACACAAAAAAGUGUUCAGAAUGCCCACUUGUGGGCCAAGCACAUGUGAUCUGCUUAGAAGAAUGUCGGCAUAGGCUGUAGGUCUUGAUGGGAGGACAGUAAACAAACAGACAAACUCAGAAUGCUCUCCACACACAGAAAAGGAUUUGGGAAUGGGAACAAUGAAAGUUAUUCUACCAAGUAUUUUAUCCUUCAUCUGAAAUAGAAAGGCUGUCCCACUGGAUGGAAAAGAUGGGGCCCCUUAGGAAACUGUGGCAGCUCUUUGCCAGGGAGCCAGCCACACACCCACUCACGCCCAGGCUGACUCCCUGCGUCACCUGCCAAAGGACAUGGUCAGUCCCCAUCCAUGUCCUGAAGUGCCCCCUGAAGCAGCCAAGGCUAGAUGCUUCUAAGGGACAAGGAGGCCCUGGCAAAAGGGCAACUUGCUACCCAGGAGUGAUCUCUCAAAUUUCCGAGGUCUCCAAACUCCUGAAAUGAGGCAGAUGGUCAAAUCAAAGCUUUCAGAAGAAAAAGAUCUCCACAAUAAAUACAGAAAUAAAGGCCUUCAGGACUUCAUUAGCCCCCUUUUUUUAAAUUCAUUUUUAAGUCACAUCUGAUUUUCAAAGACUAUGCCUUCCUGCUGUACCACCAGGUUCCCUGUCUUCUGGAGUAAAGCAGCAAUUCCCAGGCCUCAAUGGCACACUAGCUCGCAGGUUCUGCUGGCUCUGGACCUGCUGCUCUGCUCCUUUCACAGGCCUGCCUGGUCCCAUCGAUGCAGGGCCUGGAGUCUCUUGCACUGAGUCAAGGGCAGAGGAAGCUGCAACUCAAUGGCACUGCACAUCUGUAAUUCACUGCCUUUGGCUCCCUCCAGCUGUUGUUCCACACCAUCCUCACAACUCUUUAAGGUCUUACAUUCUUACUUUCCCCAUUUUAAAGUCAAGGAAAUUGUGUUAAGUAACCUCUUCUCCCCAAGACUGCACAGCCACUUGUGUGGCUGAGUGCCACACAAUAAAAAUACACCUCAUGCCUCUGAAUGCUGCCUGCCAGGUGGGAAAACAGGUGUAAGGGUUCUGGCUGUGUAGAAGAAGAAAAACGGUGUUGUCAAAGGAAUAGCUGUUCCCCUGGCCAGGUCAUUAUGGUCAGGAAAUCAUACAGCAACUCGGAUGGAGUGUGUCUAGAUUCACAGAGCACAUGAGAGGUUAACCAUAUAUUGAAGUCCUUCGUAGUUUUGUCUUAAGUACUCGAUCUGAUGAGACAAAAACAACUUCAUGUGUUUUGAGCAGUUCAGUGAAUGAUUUUUUCAAGAAAGAAAAUUAAGUUUCCUCUCAAUCUAUGUUAACAAAAUGGCAAAAAAAAACCAAAAACAUGAGGAAGGAAAUUGGGGUCUCCUCUAUGCUAAGCAUAAUGCAAAUAACAGAUCAGAGAUUUUAAAUGCAAUUAUUCCCUCCUCUGUGUUUUAGUGGUUAAAACCUGGCAAUUUGAGGUGGUCACUCACAAACAUGAAUCUCAAACAAUGGAGUUUUUAUCUACCUCCAAAAAAGUAUGGAUCUUGGAAAAAGAAUUUUUUUUUUUACUCUGAUAAGACAGUAAUCUCCUACCUUGCUGACUCAAAUGUACUUGCAUAUUAAUUGCUUCAGACCCCAAAAUCCCUGCUGAACUGGCUAAAUUUUGGGCCAAAUUCAAUAAUCCAGCAACCUCCCAUUCAAUACCUCACCAAGAUAACUUUGCAUGUUUAAUUUAAAAGUACCGAUCGCUUUUAAAUGAAAUGCUAACGCAAGCCCGUCUGCCGGCCCAAGCCACUACUGCAUCUCUGAGGGACAAGCUGCAAGUUGGAGAGCUGACUAAAGUCUGAGCAGCCUUCGGACAACGAGGUAAACACAGCCUACCAUCUCUCUCCUAAAUGGUAUCUGUUUCCCCAAAUCAAACUUUUAAAACUUGCCCCUUUUGGUUCAUUUCCCUGAUAUAGAGGCAAUGAGAUCUAGCCUCAGAUACUCAAAUAUUAUCUGCUCCAAUUGUAUCUGAUUAGCAAGAAAUACACAACUAACCCUCUAGCCAAUGCGAAUGCC